AUGAUUCAGACCUUGGUGAGUGGCGGACGGGUGAGUAACACGUGGGUAACCUGCCCAAAAGUGGGGGAUAACAUCUGGAAACAGGUGCUAAUACCGCAUAACAACUACUUUCACAUGAUCGUAGCUUGAAAGAUGGCUCUGCUAUCGCUUUUGGAUGGACCCGCGGCGUAUUAGCUAGUUGGUGAGGUAAUAGCUCACCAAGGCAAUGAUACGUAGCCCGACCCUGAGAGGGUAAUCGGCCACAUUGGGACUGAGACACGGCCCAAACUCC
rnacentral:rRNA from 1 species